rnacentral:rRNA from 1 species
GGUCGGCGUCUAGCGGACGGAAGUUGGAGGCAAUAACAGGUCUGGGAUGCCCUUAGAUGUUCGGGGCGGCAGGGGGGCUACACGGACGGAGCCAGGGGGUUUUUCACCUUGGCCGGAAGGUCUGGGUAAUCUUGUGAAACUCUGUCGUGCUGGGGAUAGAGCAUUGCAAUUAUUGCUCUUCAACGAGGAAUACCUAGUAAGCGUGAGUCAUCAGCUCGCGUUGAUUACGU